rnacentral:rRNA from 1 species
AUACGAAGGGUGCAAGCGUUAAUCGGAAUUACUGGGCGUAAAGCGCGCGUAGGUGGUUUUGUAAGUUGGAGGUGAAAGCCCCGGGCUCAACCUGGGAAUUGCCUCCAAAACUGCAUGACUAGAGUACGGUAGAGGGUAGUGGAAUUUCCUGUGUAGCGGUGAAAUGCGUAGAUAUAGGAAGGAACACCAGUGGCGAAGGCGCCUACUGGGACGGAUACGGACCCGGGGUUGGAAAAGCGUGGGGAGAAACAAGGAUUGGUUACCCGGGAGUUCCACGCCUAAAACGAUGUCAACUAGCCGUUGGGAUCCUUGAGAUCUUAGUGGCGCAGCUAACGCAUUAAGUUGACCGCCUGGGGAGUACGGCCGCAAGGUUAAAACUCAAAUGAAUUGGCGGGG